CUUCCUCUCUGAACCACAGCCCCUCUGACUUCAUCACCAGCCUCUACAAUUGUUACGUAAUUAAUUCAAUGGACCCCAGAACCUUUGUGAAUCUUCACACAGUCCUCGGCGUAGCACACGUACAGACAAUGCAGUGUGAGUCAUUCCAGCCAUGGUCUCUCCAUCUCCUUAUCCAAUAUUAAACCACGAGACAGACACAGAAACCUACGGAGGCUCAGGAGCCCCAAAGCCCCUAUCUCGGUGGCUGAGAGAACCUUUUCUUACAACACUACCCAGUCGUCUGCUUCCAUAGACACGCACCAUGAGGCUGUGAGGUUAGAGUAGGGCUAAGGUCUAGCUGCUGCCCUUGGAGCAGGC
rnacentral:lncRNA from 1 species